AACCGCGCGUUGAGCACAUAGCGAACUAUUCUUUCACCUUUACUAAAGAAUACCGUGUGCUCGCUGCUUAUAAGCGGCAUACCAAAAAAAUAUUCAUGUGUACAUUAUCAUGAAUU